UUAGAAACGACAAAUACCCACCAUUUGCUUCAACGUGGAUGGAACUGGAGGGUAUUAUGCUGAGUGAAUCCUUGCAGGCAUUCCUGUUUACAAAGUGAGUUCCAGACUCUGGAUUCCAGAGAUGGCCAACCUGAGGAACCCCUUCUCACAGAACUAUUUGGCGCCAGCCACCAAUCUGCAUGAAUCUCAAUGUGUGACACUUAGUUAAAUGACAGCAAAGGUUGAAACAAAAUGUGUGGCGCCGGACCAUGGAAUGUGUCUGUGUCAUUUGAACCACAUGUGGAAUGAGACUAGCUGGAAGGAAAAAAAAAUGUUGGUAACUCAGGUAUACUGUGUUUUUCUGAAAUGAUUUACUAAGAAAGGUACAGUG